rnacentral:rRNA from 1 species
UACGUAGGGUGCGAGCGUUAAUCGGAAUUACUGGGCGUAAAGCGCGCGCAGGCGGCUCGUCAAGCCUGACGUGAAAGCCCCCGGCUCAACCGGGGAGGGUCGUCGGGGACUGGCGGGCUUGAGGUCGGCAGGGGUUGGUGGAAUUCCCGGUGUAGUGGUGAAAUGCGUAGAGAUCCGGAGGAACACCAAAGGCGAAGGCAGUGUCCUGGGGAGUACCUGACGCUCAGGUGCGAAAGCCAGGGGAGCGAACGGG